GCUAGCCGGGUGCCGGGUGCCAUGCACGGGGAUGUGGGCAUCGCAUUCACAAUACACACGUGGUAGAAUAGGGAACAGGCUGCCCCAGGCAUCCUCUUGCCAUUAGCGUCCCAUUGACACAACACCCGCUGCCAGCUACGGCUCCCAGGUAACCCG